ensembl:lncRNA
CAGAGGCUGGGGGGAGGGGGAGUUGGUGUUCAAUGGGCACAGAGUUUCAGUUUUGCAAGACGGAAAGAGUUCUGGAGAUGGAUGGUGGUGACGGCUGCACAACAAUGUGAAUGCACCUAAUGCCACUGAACAGCACGCUGAAAAAUGGACCACCCUCACCCGAGCCGCUGAUGACACCUGGACACCUGCAGAAGCCCCUCUCCGGUCUCCUGGUCUCCUCCCCUACGUGCCUCUCCCCUCCACAUCCAUUCUGCUCAUCUCUCACUCUCUCCCUUGGCACCCCCGUGGCUUCCUGUUGGACAUCUAGUCCCGCCGCCCGGUGGCUCAGUCUGAAACAAGCCCCACUCGCUGGCCUCAGGCCCCUGGCCUUUCUUCUCCCAGUUAGGCUCUCCCUCUUCCGUUCUCAUGGCUGGUCCCUGUGUCAUCCAGGUCUCAGCCCGAAUGUGGCCUCUUCAGAGGGCCCUCCCGGACCGCCUUAGAUCCUGCCACAGCAUUUUUUAUUCUGUGGACUUGCUCGCUCACUGCCCACCUCCCCUCCCCUUCCCACAAGAAGUCAGCCCCCGGAGUGCAGCUGUCAUGACAGCUGGCCUCGGGAUCCCGGGCCCGUGCCUGGCACACAGCAGGUGCUCAGGAGAUGCUUGCCGGGUGAAUGAAUGAGGCACCAGAGCGAUCUCCUAGCCACAAGCGUUCACAGUCUUAAAUGCACAAAGUCAGCGAUCAGUCCUGAGUGGUUCACUCUCCGGGGAUCUGAAGCCGACGACCUUGGACAGUCAUUUGACCUUUCUGAGCUGUGAUUUCCUCUUCUAUGAAAUAAAAAGUUGAACUAG